rnacentral:rRNA from 1 species
AUGAUGAUGAAAAACAAGCGCAGGAUGGGAGUCCAUGAGAAACAACGUCCUUGCAAGAAAGUAAUUAGGCCAACUUUAGAUGGUACCUCCUCAGCGAGAUCGGACAGCUCGAGGGAACCCAGUCCAGGCGCGUUGAGUCAACUCAGUGAGCAAGUAGUUUCAAGAUUGUGUAGGAGUGUUGUGUCGCUCGCCUCAUUCCAUGGUGAUACCAAGUUAGGGGAAUGCACAGGCAUAUGCAUCGAAACCUCAUGCCCUGAUGCUACAAGUUUCCUGACAUCGAGACUUUUGAUUCCACUUACUUGGCCUACAAGGGAGAUCACUGAAAAUUUGACGAUUGAAGUGCACCUUCCAAAUGGUCGGACUGUCACUGGCUGGAUAGAGCAUCCUGGGAGAUAUGUUGAUUUUUUAAUCGUCAAUGUCAAGGACUUGUCUGUAUUUGAUGUCGCGCGUGUAAGUCUUGAUUGUGACAUGCAGUUUGAACCUUAUAGGAAGGUAGCAGCUGUAUGGCGCAAUUUCAGUUCAGGACUUUUAGGGGCCACAAGCGGAGUAGAUCUUGCCUCUCUAAGCGCUCUAACCAGUGAGACAAUGUUCAGCACAUGCCAGAUCAACAAGGCUGGGAUUGGAGGCCCCCUUGUUGAUUUUGAUGGUAACUUUGUUGGGAUGAACUGCUCUCGUACCAGAAGGAAAAAGACCCCCUACGUGCGAAGGGAGCAAAUCCUUCAAUUCUUGGAGUAUUACAGGAUGGUCAGUGUUAGAGCUAAGGAAGAGACUGAUGAUGCUGAAGAACCCGGAAUCGAAAGUGAGAUGAAACAACUACUUUGCAGCAUUCCAGGAGGAUCUACAAAAUUCUUUGCUUGCACUGGUGUAUUUGUAAAGUGCAAUGCAUGCUCUGCAACAAUUCUGACUUCAGCAAGUUUGGUUAGAGUUUCUGGUGAUGCACACAGGAUUGAUGAUAACCUGAGGAUUGAAGUUUGCCUUCCAAACGAAUUUCGAGUCGUAGGGAUACUGAACCGUUAUAAUUUACAUUACAACGUUGGUCUUGUUGACAUCAUGGGGUACUGGGGCCCUCGUGAAAUACAAAUCAGCCGGCAUCAAGUUACCUCAUGUAACAAGGUAAUAGCUGUGGGUCGUCUUUUUACUUAUCACAAUAUAAUGGCUGCAAAGGGGAAGUUGUUGGCUGGCAAACGAAGCAAACUCGAUUGCAUAGAACUAUGCGUCUCCACCUGUAAAACCACCAAGGCUGGGAUUGGGGGCCCUCUUAUUGACACUGGUGGGAAUUUUCUUGGAAUGAACUUUUACCACGAGGAAGAAACUCCAUUCCUGCCGAGGGAUGUUAUUCACCGCCUCUUGUUGAACCUAAAUAAAGGAUGUAAAAUUAUUUCUGCGUGUACCUGUAGGACUAGGGCAGGUGAUACUAUUGUUGAGGGUGACGAAAAGAGAUGCCUGUUGCCUGGUCCAUGUUGGUCCCAUGGAGAUGCUGAUACUAUUGCCGAGGGUGGUGUAAACAAGUGGCCGUUGCCUGAGCCGUAUGUGCGCCCUGCUGAUAUACCUGAACCUACUACAUUGGAUUUCUACAAGCUGAUUAGGAUGCACUGUGCUUUUUAG